UUUUUUUUUUUUUUUUUUUUUUUUUUUUUUGCUUGGGGAAAUCAGAUGUUAGGUGAAAAAUUUCUAACUGAGUGAAACGAGAUGUUAGUUGAGAGAUGGUAUGGCGAUCGUGUUGUUUCACCGAGUUGAGUAUCGAGCGCACACCCUGUAGGCGCUGCAUUUGUUUUCAGAGUUCUCACUUAGUGAAACCUGAUGGUGGAAAGUUUGUCACCACAGGGCUGUUUCACAGAAGUGCAUAUAUGGCGCUUUCGACACAAGCCCCGCAGCGUUUGUCCGUUUUAAGUGAAAGGAGAUGUUAGUUGCAAGAUGGAUUCCCCACACUGUUGCUUCACAGAGUUGAGUAAAUGGCACUUACUAACAUGUCGGCUCCGCAUAGGCUUUCCAAGAGUUUUCAGUGAGUGAAAUCAGAUGUCGGUUGAGUGCCUCACCGCAGUGCCGGUGGACAGAGUGGUGUAUACGGCACUUAAGGUGUUGGACCCCUGUGGGGUUUCAAACACACCAAACAUAGUGAAACCUGCUGUGUGCUGGUGAAGUUUCAGCACGCUGUUGUUGCACAGAGUUGAGUACAUGGCACUUUCGUCAUUGGCCCCGCAUAGGUUUUCAAACACUUGUAAGUUGGGAAACAAGUUGUCAGUUGAAGGAUGGUUUCCCCACAGUAUCCUUUGCCAGAGUUGAGCAAACGGCACUAUCCUCCUAGGCCCCGCAUACACUGGACCCAAACCUUUCUAACUUAGUGAAACCAGAUUUGGGGUGAUGGUUUCCCCACAGUGUCGUUUCACAGAGUUGAGGGUAUGGCACUUUCCGUGUAGGUCUUGCGAAGGAUUUCAAAGCACUUUGCCUUUGUGACACCAGAUGUUAGGUGAAAGGCGCUUUCUCCACAUUGUUUCUCUCAGAUUUAAGUAUACAGCCCUUACCGUGUAGGUCCCGCAUAGGUUUGGAAAGAGUGCCCACUCAGUGAAACCCGGUGUUAGUUGAACGUUGGUUCGCCCCCGGUAUUCUCUCACGCCCUCGAGUAUCUGUCACUUUCCUCAUCGUUCCCCGCAUAGGUUUUGAAACAAACACUUCUCACUUAGUGAGACGAGACUUUAGUUGAGAGAACGUCUCUCCACAAUAUUUUCACACAGGAUGGAGUGUAUGUCACAGUCACCAUUUCCCCCCGCAAAUGUUAUCACAAACUUCGAACUUCGUGUUUGAAAAACCCAUGCGGGGGCCUAUGCGGAUAGGGCCAUAUGCUGAACGCUGUGAAACAACACUGUGGGGAAGGCAUCUUCAGAUAUCAUCUGGUUUCGCUGUUAGAAGGGUCUAUAAACCCAUGGGGGUCCGCCACGAAAGCGCCGUAAGCUCAAGACUGUGAAACAACAGUGUCCCGACACCGUCUUUCAACUACCAUCUGGCUUCGGUACGCUAAAAGUGUUUGAACGAUAUGCGGGGCCUAUUGGGAUACUACCAUACAGUCAACUCCGUGAGGCAACAGUGUGGUGACACAACCUUUCAACUUACGUCUGGGUUCAGUAAGUGAUUAAAACCUAUAGGGUGCCUACAAGGGAGGCGCCAUCUGCUCUCCUCUGUGAGGCAACACUGUGGGGAACUAACAGUUCGACUAAACGUUCAACUAACGUUCAACGAACGCCUCGUUUCCUUAAGUUAGAAAUGUUUGGAAAACUUGCGGGGCCUUUGCCGAAAGUGCCUUAUAGUCCCUCAAACGGCACCAUGCGGAAACCAUCAUCUUUCAACUGACGUGUCGUAUCGCCAAGUUAGACAUGGUUGAAUACCCAUGUGGGGAACGAUGUGGAAAGUGACAUAUACUCGACACGGUGGGAGAAUAGUGUGGACGAACCAUCUUUCAACUAACAUCUUGUUUCCCUGAGUUGGACGUGUUUGCAAACCUAAGGGGGCCUAGGAGGGAAGUGCCAUAUACUGCGAUCUGUGGGGGAAACCAUCUUUCAACUGACACCUUGGCUCGCUAUGUUAGAAGUGUUUGAAAAACCCGUGCGACACCUACAAGGAAAGUGCCCUAGAAGCAACACUGUGAAACAACACUGUGUAGGAAUCUUUGAACUCAUAUCAUGUUUCACUGUUACAAGUGGAGAAAUCCUGGGUCUGUUAGUAUAAAGAACGCGCCGUUGACUUAACUUUGUGAAACAUCAUUGUAGGGAAACUAACUUUCAAAAACCACUGGUUCAACUAAGUUGGAAGUGUUGGAAAACCCAUGAGGGGCCUACACGGAAAGUGCCAGAUACUCAACUCUGUCACACAUCACUGUGCUGAAACCGUUGUGAAACAAACGUCUCGUUUCACAAGUGUAGAAGUGUUCGAAAACCUCUGUGGGGCUCAUGAGUAAAGUGCCAUUAUCCUCCGUCAAACAGCACGUAGGGGGAAAGGUCUGCCCACGAACAUCACGUUUCACUAAGUGACACGUCUUUGAAAACCUAUGUGGAGCUUACGCGGAAGGCGCCGUAUGCUCAAAUCUGUCCAGGAGCACUACGGGGAAGCCAUCCGGCUCCUUCCAUCUCCCUCCGCUAAGAAUUAGUGGAAAUAAUGUGUUGCCUAGGAGGAUAGUGCCGUACACUCCACUCUGUGAAACAACACUGUGGGGAAAGCUUCUUUCAAAGAAACUACCACCCGCUGUCCCCAAGUUAGACGUGCUCGAAAACUCUCCCGCAACCUGUGCGGAAAGUGCCGUAUACUCGGCACCGUGAAACACUGUGGGGAAACUAUUUCUCAAGUAACAUUUCGUUUCACUAAGUUAGAAGCGCUUGAAGACCUAUGCGGCACCUGUGGGGAAAGUGCCAUACACUCAACCCGGUCAAGCAGCACUUUGGGGAACCAACCUAUCUUUCACCUAACAUCUCGUUUCACCUGAGUGAGAACUGUCUGAAAAACCUAUGCGGGCCCUACAGGGUCACUAGGGUCUGAAAGACUAGGCGGGGCCGAUGCCGAUAGCGCCACACACCCAGUUCUAUCACGCUGCGCUGUGCGGAAACCAUCUUUCAACUCAAUGUUGCAUCACGGAGUUCGAAAUGUUGGACAACCCAUGCACGGAACGAUGUGGAAAGGGACACAUACACGACACUGUGAGAGACUCCUGUGGACAAACCAUCUUUCCGCUAACAUCUCGUUUCACCAAGUUAGAAGUGUUUGAAAGCCUAUGCAGGGCCUAUUCCGAAAGUGUCAUGCUCUUUGAAACCACUCUUGGACACAACACCGCGGCGACACAAUCUUUCAACUAACAUCUGGUUUCGCUAAUUAGGUGAGUACCGCUUGAAACCUAUGCGGGGACUACAGGGUAAGUGCCGUAUACUCAACGCGGAGAAACAACACUGAGGGGAAACCAUCUUUCAACUAACAUCCCCUUUCACUGUGACAAGGGUUUGAGACAAUAAGCGCGGCCUACGCCCAACGUGCCACACACUCAACUCUCAAACUGCACUUUGCGGAGACCAGCUUUCAACUAACAUCUUGUAUCGCUGAGUGAGAAUUGUUAAAAACCUAUGCAGGGAACGAUGAGGAAAAGGGCAUACGGCCGAGACUGGCAGACAUUACCGUGGACAAAACCGUCUUUCAAAGAGCCUCUUGUUUCACUAAGAUAGAAGCGUCUGAAAGCCCACGCAAGGGAAGUAUGAGGACUGUGCCGUAAAACAACAGUGUUGCCGAACCAUCGUUCCGCUUACAGCGUGUUUCACGAAGUGAGAAGUGUUGGAAAUCUAUCGGGAGUCUAAGCGGAAAGUGCAAGUGCCGUCUACGCGACCGUGCGAAAACACUGUGGGGAAGCCAUCCUUCAACGACUAUCUUGUUUCAUUACCUUGGCAGUUGUUGGACAACCCUGCACAGCCUAUGAGGAAAGUUACAUGUACUCAACGGUGUCAAGUAGCGCUUUGGGGAACCUAUCUUUCAACGACCAUCUCGUUUCCCUAAGGUAGAAGUGUUUGAAAUCCCUGGCGGGGACUAUGCGGAUAGCGCCAUAUCCUCUACUCUGUGAAACACUGUGGGGAUACCGUCUUGCAAGGAAGAUCUCUUGUCACAAAGUUAGGCGUGGUGGUAACCAUAUACGGGGCCUGGGCAGAGUGUCAUAUACUGAACUCCGUGAAACAACAUUGUAGGGAAACCAUCUUUCAACUGACAUGUCCUUUCACUAAGUUAGAGUUGUUUGAAGAGCAAUGCGGGGGCUAGGCAGAGAGCGUCGUAUGCUGGAUUCUGUGAAACAACACUGUGGGGAAACGCUCUUUCCACUAACUAUCUCGUUUCACUAAGUUAGAAUUGUUUCAGAAACAAUGCCGGACGUGCCAUAGCCUCAACUGUGCCAACCAGCACUUCGCCAAGCACUCGUGUUUUGAAACUCUCAUCUUGGUUUCGCCAGGUGAGAACUGUUUGCAAACCUAUUCGGGGCCUAGGCCAAAAGAGCCAUAUGCUCAGCCGCAUCGACCGGCACUUUGCAAAAACAAUCUGUCAGCUAACAUCUUUUUUCCCUAAGUUAGAAGUAUCUGAAAACAUAUGCGGGGAAGGCUGCAGAAAGUGACAUAUACACGACUCUGUGAGAGAAUACUGUGGACAAAAGCACCUUUCAACUACCAUCUUGUUUCACUAAGAAGGAUUUGAAAACCUAUGCGGGAACUAUGCGGAAAGGUCCAUAUACUCAACUAUGUGCGAAAACUGUGGACAAAACAUCUCUCAGCUAACAUCUGGCUUCAAGUUAAAAUAGUUUGACAACCUAUGGAUCACCUACAAGGAAAGAGCUGUAUGCUCAACUCUGGAAACAUCACUUGAGUAGGAACCAAUGUGUCAUCUAAGAACUGAUUUCACUAAAUUAGAAAAGUCUGACUACACGUGCAGGGCCUAGGCACAUAGUGCGAUAUUCUCCACUCUGUGAAACAGCACUGUUUUGAAACACUCCUUUUCAACGCUCAUCUGAUUUCACUAAGUGAGACAGACCUCUUUGGAAACCCUUUCGGGGCCUAGGCCAAAAGUGACCUAUACUCCACUCUGUGAAAGAACACUGUGGUGAAACCGUCUUUCAACUCAGAUCUGGUUUCACCGAGUGAGACAGACUUCUUUGAAAACGUAGGCGGGGCCUACAGAGUAAGCGCCACAUACUCAAGUUUGUGCAAAAGCACCGUGGGGAGGCCAUCUUUCAACUGCCACCUCGUUUCACCAAGUUAGAAGGGUUUCAAAAACUAUGCAAAGCCUGUGACGGAACUGCCAUAUACUCAGCUCUGGCAAACGGCACUUGGCGGAAACCGUCGUUCAAGCAACAUUUCGUAUCACUGCGUUCGAAGUGUUUGAAAACCUAUACGGGGAACGAUGUGGAAAGUGGCAUGCAUUCGACACUGAGAGAACACUGUGGACAAACCGUCUUUCAACUAACAUCUUGUUUCACUAGAUAGAAGCGUAUUAAAACCGAGGCGGGGACUAUGUGGCCAGGGCCAGGUAAUCAACUCUGCGAAAAAAAACAGCACGGAGAAACAGCUUUCAACUAACUAUCAAGUUUCACAAAGAAGACUCUGAAAAGCUAUGCAUGAACUACUGUGGAAAGUGCCAUGGACGCAACUCUGGAAACAUCACGGUGGGGAAAGCAUGUUUCCCCUAGAAUCUGCUUUCACGAAGUUAGAAACGCUUGAAUACACAUUCAGGACCAAGGCGGCUGGCGCCAUGUACUCCACUCUGGGAGACAACACUGUGGUGAAACUCUCUUUCAACUAACUCCUGAUUUCACCUUAGUGAGAACGGCUUGAAAAAAAUCUACGCGGGGCCUGCAACGUAAGUGCCA